UACGUAGGGGGCGAGCGUUGUCCGGAUUCAUUGGGCGUAAAGCGCGCGCAGGCGGUUGGCAGAGCCCGGCGUGAAAGCCCCCAGCUCAACUGGGGGAGGCCGUCGGAGACCUGUCGACUUGAGGCCGGUAGGGGAGAGCGGAAUUCCCGGUGUAGUGGUGGAAUGCGCAGAUAUCAGGAGGAACACCGAUGGCGAAGGCAGGUCUCUGGGCCACUACUGACGCUGAGAAGCGAAAGCAUGGGGAGCGAACAGG
rnacentral:rRNA from 1 species